GUGGGGAAUCUUGCGCAAUGGGCGAAAGCCUGACGCAGCCAUGCCGCGUGAAUGAUGAAGGUCUUAGGAUUGUAAAAUUCUUUCACCGGGGACGAUAAUGACGGCACCCGGAGAAGAAGCUCCGGCUAACUUCGUGCCAGCAGCCGCGGUAAUACGAAGGGGGCUAGCGUUGCUCGGAAUUACUGGGCGUAAAGUGCGCGUAGGCGGACAGCUUAGUCAGAGGUGAAAGCCCAGGGCUCAACCUUGGAAUUGCCUUUGAUACUGGCUGUCUUGAGUUUGGGAGAGGUGAGUGGAACUCCGAGUGUAGAGGUGAAAUUCGUAGAUAUUCGGAAGAACACCAGUGGCGAAGGCGACUCACUGGCCCAAUACUGACGCUGAGGCGCGAAAGCGUGGGGAGCAAACAGGAUUAGAAACCCUUGUAGUCC
rnacentral:rRNA from 1 species